rnacentral:lncRNA from 1 species
UGGGAUGAACAUGUAAAUCGGGAAGGAAAAUCUACAUUCACAGAAGAAAGAUUAUCGGCUCCUAGACUCUCGAUAUUUAAAACACAACUAGCAAAGUGACUCACAGCAUCAAACCAAAAACUUGUAAUCUCAUUUGAACAUGAUCAAAGCAUUUAUGCAUCACUAAUUAAAGCAUAGCAGGAAUUAUGUCAAUAGAGAGACUGUCAUCAUUCUUCCCCCUCCAUUCAUAUCUCAAUAGAGAGAAAAACUGAAAAAUCCUUUCAUGCAAUACAAUCCCACUGGGCGUGUUUUCUUUUAUCUUGAUCCAUGAUAAGGCUAAGAUGGUCCAACAACAACAACCAAGUCUUUAUCCAACUAGGUGGGGUCGGCUACAUGGAUUGAACGAUGCCAUAAUGUUCUAUCAUACAUAAAAAUAAAUGAAAAUGUUAAAAUAUUACCAGGGAAUCACACCAACACCCAAUUUGAAGUCAGUGAAAAAUGAAAAGACAUACUGAAGAUAGUAUAACAACAAAUACCAGAACCAUACAUAAGAUUAUGCAUGUUCUGGAUUUAAGGUCAUUUAUAAUAAUAAGUUCUCAUUAUUACUGAAAAUCCAUAUUAGAGUAAGCUCAAGCACUGAAAAACAAAAUGUGUUUGUGAGUGUCCCAGAAAAGUCUCUCCCCCUAAUCAAAAUGUAAAGGAAAACAGCCACAACUUAUAAGAAACUUGCACAUUUAAAAUACAAAUAAAUCCUUUACUGCACAGGUAUAAGAUAACUUUCCAAAAGUUUUGCAAUCACUUCCAAACCUCUUUGUCCAGCUAAUUACAAACUAGCUUUGCUUUUCUAGUAUCUAAAAUUCUAAACUUUAAGUGAUUCUUUUCCUUUAUAUACGAAAUUUUUUUCUUUUCCUUUUUAUGUAUUAUAUAAUUAUAUAUGUUUUAUCAUAUAUACCUUUAAAAAAAGGUUGUGAAGUGCACGAGGCUCUCACCUAGUGGGGCUUGUGGAGGGUAGAUACACAGCCUUAUUCUCGCAAGCGAAGAAAUUGUUUCAAGCAUUUGAACUCGUGAAAUAGUAACAUUCCAGCAUCAUUGAGCGCUUAGCAGCACAUGAAAUAGUACCUGGGUACUAUCCUUCAUCCUUUUUCUUGUAACUUCAUAAUAUUUUUAAACUUGAACUGGUUCAUUAGUUCACAGCUAUCAGUUUAAAUGGCAUGACUGAACAGGCCAAUGGUCCCAUUCACUGUUUAACCAGUUUGAUCGAACAGUCUGGUCCGAUUUUCAUAACAUUGCCGAUUGGUCAACUUCCAUUCUCUAGUAAAAUGUUCAAAGCCCCUCAGCAUGUUUUUUCUAUAACUAAUCACUUCAUCUUC